GCUGCGUCGUUUCCUAAGACCUAGCAACAUUGGUACAUGUAGAAAUGGCAGACGCAAAGCGCGCGCACGUGUUUGAUUGCAGGCUUCUUGAAGCACACCCGGGUCAAACCUGUCAAAACGGCCAUGGCAUGACAAGACGCUGACCUCUCUGCUAAGAUGCCAUCUCACGGCGCGCGGAGCAGUCCCCGCUGAGACGACCCGCUUCGCUAGUGCGCGGCGGCGGGGACUUUUCGUCUGCUCCGCAACGGAGCACGCCGUUGGGAAGCCGCAAGCUCUGUUGGCUCUUACCUUAAGACUGUUCCUCGGAAGAAAGAAAAAAGAUGGCACGCUCGCUUGGGGUAAGUAUGCUGUUCACAGAUAGUCGGCAUUUUCCCCAUUUUUAUGGUGCUUUUAUAAUGUCUCUGGGAGAAUCGGAUCCGCUCUACUGCAUCCGCUCUAGUUCUGAUAUUCAAAGACAGCUUGGCUAACGGACGCAUAUUUUCAGACACUUUAAAGGAUUAACCGAGGAGGCUCGUAUAUUCCGAUUAAAUGCGCAGUGACAUCGGGGCGAAGGCCUAGACAAGAUUAGCGAUACGAUUGCGGAGGCACAGAGUAAUAAACAACUGCUGGACCAA